rnacentral:rRNA from 1 species
GAUGAACGCUGGCGGCGUGCCUAAUACAUGCAAGUCGAGCGAAUGGAUUAAGAGCUUGCUCUUAUGAAGUUAGCGGCGGACGGGUGAGUAACACGCGGGUAACCUGCCCAUAAGACUGGGAUAACUCCGGGAAACCGGGGCUAAUACCGGAUAACAUUUUGAACCGCAUGGUUCGAAAUUGAAAGGCGGCUUCGGCUGUCACUUAUGGAUGGACCCGCGUCGCAAUUAGCUAGUUGGUGAGGUAACGGCUCACCAAGGCAACGAUGCGUAGCCGACCUGGGAGGGUGAUCUGCCACAAUGGGACUGAGACACGGCCCAGACUCCUACGGGAGGCAGCAGUAGGGAAUCUUCCGCAAUGGACGAAAGUCUGACGGAGCAACGUCGCGUGAGUGAUGAAGGCUUUCGGGUCGUAAAACUCUGUUGUUAGGGAAGAACAAGUGCUAGUUGAAUAAGCUGGCACCUUGACGGUACCUAACCAGAAAGCCACGGCUAACUACGUGCCAGCCGCCGCGGUAA